GGCACUGUGGCGGAGUGGUUAACGCGACAGAUUAGAAUAAUUGGCCAAGCACAUUAAGCACUCGGCCAUUUAUCUAUCUGUUCCACUUGUUGGGCGCAUGUUCGAAUCAUGCCAGUGUCG